UCUACGGGUGGCAGCAGUGGGGAAUAUUGGGCAAUGGGCGCAAGCCUGACCCAGCAACGCCGCGUGAAGGAAGAAGGCUUUCGGGUUGUAAACUUCUUUUAUUGAGGACGAAACAAAUGACGGUACUCCAUGAAUAAGCCACGGCUAACUACGUGCCAGCAGCCGCGGUAAUACGUAGGUGGCAAGCGUUAUCCGGAUUUACUGGGUGUAAAGGGCGUGUAGGCGGGACUGCAAGUCAGAUGUGAAACCCAUGGGCUCAACCCAUGGCCUGCAUUUGAAACUGUAGUUCUUGAGUGAUGGAGAGGCAGGCGGAAUUCCGGGUGUAGCGGUGAAAUGCGUAGAUAUACGGAGGAACACCAGUGGCGAAGGCGGCCUGCUGGACAGUAACUGACGCUGAGGCGCGAAAGCGUGGGGAGCAAACAGGAUUAGAUACCCCAGUAGUC
rnacentral:rRNA from 1 species